AUUGAACGCUGGCGGCAUGCCUUACACAUGCAAGUCGAACGGUAACAGGUUAAGCUGACGAGUGGCGAACGGGUGAGUAAUGUAUCGGAACGUGCCCAGUCGUGGGGGAUAACUGCUCGAAAGAGCAGCUAAUACCGCAUACGACCUGAGGGUGAAAGCGGGGGAUCGCAAGACCUCGCGCGAUUGGAGCGGCCGAUAUCAGAUUAGGUGGUUGGUGAGGUAAAGGCUCACCAAGCCGACGAUCUGUAGCUGGUCUGAGAGGACGACCAGCCACACUGGGACUGAGACACGGCCCAGACUCCUACGGGAGGCAGCAGUGGGGAAUUUUGGACAAUGGGCGCAAGCCUGAUCCAGCCAUGCCGCGUGCGGGAAGAAGGCCUUCGGGUUGUAAACCGCUUUUGUCAGGGAAGAAAAGGUUCUGGCUAAUACCUGGGACUCAUGACGGUACCUGAAGAAUAAGCACCGGCUAACUACGUG
rnacentral:rRNA from 1 species